rnacentral:rRNA from 1 species
UACGUAGGGUGCAAGCGUUAAUCGGAAUUACUGGGCGUAAAGCGUGCGCAGGCGGUUUUGUAAGACAGAGGUGAAAUCCCCGGGCUCAACCUGGGAACUGCCUUUGUGACUGCAAGGCUUGAGUGCGGCAGAGGGGGAUGGAAUUCCGCGUGUAGCAGUGAAAUGCGUAGAGAUGCGGAGGAACACCGAUGGCGAAGGCAGCCCCCUGGGCCGACACUGACGCUCAGGCACGAAAGCGUGGGGAGCAAACAGG